GUAGAUAUUUUAUGUCUAUUACUGAUGACUUUUCUCGUAAAGUCUGGGUCUAUUUCCUGAAACAUAAAAAUCAGGAAUUUUCUAUUUUCAAAAAGUGGAAAAUUCUCGUUGAGACUCAAACAGGAAAAAAGGUCAAGAAGCUCAGGACAGACAAUGGCUUGGAGUUCUGUGAGAGAGAUUUCACUAAGUUGCAGCACAAGGAAUUGCCAGGCACAAAACCUUGCCUGGAAAACCCCAGCAAAAUGGUGUUGCCGAACGUAUGAACAGGACUCUAUUAGAGAGAGCUCGUUGUAUGCUCUCUAAUGCUGGGUUAUGGAAAUGCCGUGACUUUUGGGCCGAAGCCGUUUCUACUGCAUCCUAUUUGGUAAAUAGGUCUCCACAUGCAUCCCUCGAUUUCAACAUUCCAGAGAAAGUUUGGUCAGGUGAUACAUAGAGUACUGGUGAGAAGGUGGAGUUUGAGUUCAGGCCUAUGAAUAGUAUUACUACCACUGAUGAUAAUACAAACGAUAAUGCAUCUACUAGUACUGCGCCUCUCGUCGAGCAACAACGAGAGUAUUCUAUCGCCCAAGACCGGCCUAGGAGGACAAUUAAAAAACCUGCUAGGUAUGCUACUAGUGAUGAUGAAACCCACUUGGUUGCUUACGCACUUUCAGUUGCACAGGAGUUUGAUGGUGAUCCAUCCGGUUAUUCUGAGGCUAUUUCCUAUGUCAACUCGUCCAAGUGGUUAGUUACUUACCAAGCCUCUUCCAAUUACUAAGUUCAAGUAGUGCUUGAGUUUAGUCAACUGUUUCAGUGGCGAAUUCUACCAUGUAUUUGAUCCAAAGUGGAGAUUGUUAGAAAAAUAAUGUAUGGCUCAAAUCCAUGUUGUCACCUUGCAGCACAUAGGCAUCCACGUAGCAUGUCUUCAUUCUCCACCUCCUACACGUUCCCCGAACUUAGCUCUCAUUCUUAUGUUUGCCGCACAUUUCUCUAAUUUUAGUGUAUAAAUAGUUAUCUUUGUUUUGUAAUUCAAAUGCAUCAAUAUCAUCUAUUGUAAUUCAUUCUUCUUUCUUUUCUUUUA